AUUAAAUUGUGAGGAAUUUCAGAGUUGUGUCGUACCACUAAAUUAUCAUACACAUUUCAAACAAAUGACAUCUAAAUGACAAACGAAAAGAAGAAAUGCGUAAAUGCUGACUUUGCCGAAAGGAGGAUGGGCCAUUUUUUUCUAUCCCUAAGGACGAAGCAAGUCAAAGGCACCACCUUUGCUGUAGCCAGGCCAACCACCCAAUGGUCCAAUGUCUUAUACGACCAGGCAAACUUUUGCGCCACCUUCUAGUUUGAUAUAGCAGUCAUAUGAACAUAUCCUCCGAUUUAACUUCAAAGAGCCCAGGUGGUUGCAAACGAUAUUCCUUUCUUGUAAAAAAUUUGACAAAUGUAAACCAUUGUGCAGGGUCUUGACGAGUCAUCAAGAUCGGAUUAUAGACCAUUCUCCAAAUUUUAA